GCUUCUUUGUCUUAUCAGACUUGCCACAACUGAUGUAAAAUAAAGUUGUUAUUUUCUCAAUCUGAAUGGAGGUCAAAUGAGGUCCAAUUGGAGAAUAAGUUCAGGCCCACACAAGAAAAAAAAGUAGAACAUGUUUACAUACAUGUCCUAGGGAAGUACAAUUAUACACUUUUAAUUAACAAAACAUACAAAAACAGUUAUGGACGAGGCCUAAACUACGGUGCACUGCUCACUGACUACUCAGUGAUACCCUUGUUCACAGGCGCAGCUUUCCUCGUGGGAAAAUACAUUUCCGAUGGGGUUGCUUUGAUGAAUCUGUCCAUGAUCGCGUCAGAGGUAGGCGGCGACUCUGCUGUCUCUGGAUAUUGUAGACUGUCUCCACAACUGUUUGUGUUUGUUUGUAAGCCUCCGGGACUCCGGGGAUAUCGGACAGAUCUGGGCAAUAAUUAUGUUUAAUCAUUCCCAAUUAGGUCGGAGGAGAUGGAGGAGACCCCAACGGCUCUUUGACUUCAGGGUCACAACAUGCAGAGGCCAGGCUGGGGGAGAAGUCACUGUCUAUGUAACAGAGAGUGGGUCAGGUCAGGGAUGCUGCAGCAUCGGAGGGAAUCUGACUCUCAUGGCCUGUUUUCAUCUGGAGAGACCUCCGACAAUGACUGUGAGGUAACUUCAUGUGUGUGUGUGUCUUUGUCUGUUUGAGCAGUAUAACCCACACCGACUCAACCCUAAUCAUGAGAGUGCAUGAGGGCAAGAGAUAGGACAUUUACCAUCCCGUGUGUGGGUUUGUGUACGCAUGUGUCUCAGUGUGUGUCUGUGUAUGUGAGACAUUGGUAAUUAGGGCCCCACUGUUAGGUUUGUACUCUACACAACAUGAAGAAUACUUUCUAACCUCUGCUGCUGUCCAAUUAGUGAUGGACUGAUGGCUCCAGAUAAAUCAUUACUACUUUCUGCUCUCUCUCUCUCUCUCUCUCUCUCUCUCUCUCUCUCUCACUCAUUCUCUCUUUCUCUCAUUUUCUCUUUUGCUCUUUCACUCUUUCUCUCAUUCUAUCUUUCUCUCAUUCUAUCUUUUACUCUCUCUCUCAUUCUAUCUUUCUCUUAUUCGCUCUCUCUCUCUUUCAUUCGCUCUCUCUCUCAUUCUCUCUCUCAUUCCCCCUCUCUCUCUCUCUGUCGCUCUCUCUCUAUAUAUAUAUUUAUAUCUGUCUCCUCUGUUUCUCUCUUCGUUCCUCAUUUAUCAUGCUUAUCUAUCUGUUUCUUGCUCUGUCACACACACCAUCUCUCUCUCAUGCUGUUUCUCUCUCUCUUACUGUUUCUCUCUCUCUGUAUCUCUCUCUUACUGUUUCUCUCUCUCUGUAUCUCUCACUUACUGUUUCUCUCUCUGCAGAUGGGGGCAAGUUGUGGAGAAGUUGGCGUAGUGUGUUUGUGUGAGACUGGACCCUGCACACUAUACUCUGAAGCACACACACAGACACCGGACACACUGAAAUGUGAACACUGUGGGAAAAACAGGGUAGUGAUAACCAGAUACUCAGAGGGAUAUGGCACAGAGGAAGAGUGUGCCCUGUCCGAUCCUCAGGGCGACAGCGAUGCAGACGCUGACAUCGAGGACACAGAUUGCAGACUACAGGAGCCAGGUUCUCUCCAGCGAAUCAGUUCGCGGAGACGGAAGCGACCACGAAUAGCACGGCAGGACACCACGGAGAGUGAGGACGAUGGGGGGAGGAGUCACAGGAGUCACCGCUGGAACCUCAGACUCAGUCCCCACCGCGCUCACAACAGAACCUUACUAGAGGUACCUCAACCACACAGAACCACAUCACAAACCUAAUACACAACCACAGUUAAACCUCAUCGCAAACACAUAAUGAAACUGCCAUAUAUUGAAAGUCUCUCUCUCUCUCUCUCUCUUUCUCUCUCUCUCUCUCUCUCUCUCUGUCUUUCUCUCUCUCUCUCUCUCUCUCUCUCUCAGGAAAGUGUAUCACAGGUCAGACCGUUAGUGAUCUGUCGGCCCAGUAUCAGAGGAGACGGUCAGGGGCCUCCAGUCGAAGGGCCCAGAACUGGCCC
rnacentral:lncRNA from 13 species